rnacentral:rRNA from 1 species
AACCUGGUUGAUCCUGCCAGUAGUCAUACGCUCGUCUCAAAGAUUAAGCCAUGCAUGUGUAAGUUCAACUAUAUGAUCUGAAAACUGCGAACGGCUCAUUAUAUCAGUUUUCGUCUAUUUGACAGUCCCUUUACUAUUCGGAUACCCGUAGUAAUUCUAGAGCUAAUACGUGCGUCAACACUCGUAAGAGUGGCGUUUAUUAGAUAGAAACCAUCCCGUUUCGGCGGUAUUUUGGUGAUUCACAAUAACCUAGCGGAUCGCAUGGCUCUGCCGGCGAUAGUUCAUUCAAAUUUCUGCCCUAUCAGCUAUUGACGGUAGUGUA